rnacentral:misc_RNA from 1 species
GACUUAUAAAUCCCGUAUUUGUAUUUUAUUUGUUUUGUUUUUGUGUUGUAAAUUGUGCCGAUCCAGUCAGCAGAAUUCAAAAUUAAAUGUUGCGUAAAUAUGUGUCAACCUACAAAGCGAAAGAGGAGUACGUUGGCGGCGGCCCACCGACGACAAUUGCCGGUCCAUCUGUUGGUAAUGUGGCCAAUACCACGACAGCCCUAGCCGGUGCUAAGAGCUCAAGCAAUAACAUGUAUUCCACCCGCCAAUCUGUAAGCACCACGACCGGUGUACUUAUGGUCGGACCAAAUUUUCGUGUCGGUAAAAAAAUUGGCUGUGGUAAUUUUGGCGAAUUGCGUUUAGGUCGUCGAAUGUGUUGCUUUGGUGGGCGUGGCACUGCCGAGAACAGUGGGGCAGGAAAAAAUCUUUACAACAAUGAACAUGUAGCAAUAAAAAUGGAGCCUAUGAAGUCAAAGGCUCCGCAACUACACUUAGAGUAUAGGUUUUAUAAACUAUUAGGAUCACAUGCCGAAUCCGCCCCAGAUGGCGUACCACGCAUUUAUCACUUGGGCACUUGCGGUGGCCGUUACAAUGCCAUGGUUUUAGAGUUAUUGGGAUUGUCAUUAGAAGAUCUCUUCAAUAUUUGCGCCCGUAAAUUUUCACUUAAGACUGUAUUGAUGAUAGCAAAACAACUUCUCCACCGGAUCGAAUAUGUUCAUAGUCGGCACUUAAUAUAUAGGGAUGUGAAACCAGAGAACUUUCUCAUUGGCAGAACGUCAACAAAACGUGAAAAAAUUAUACACAUAAUUGAUUUCGGUUUGGCCAAAGAAUACAUUGAUUUAGAUACAAAUAGGCAUAUACCAUAUCGGGAGCAUAAGUCCCUAACCGGCACCGCACGCUAUAUGUCAAUCAAUACGCAUAUGGGGCGUGAGCAGUCGCGACGUGACGAUCUGGAGGCAUUGGGUCAUAUGUUUAUGUAUUUCUUAAGAGGUUCACUGCCGUGGCAAGGCCUUAAGGCUGAUACACUCAAGGAGAGAUAUCAAAAAAUCGGUGAUACGAAACGUGCAACGCCCAUUGAGGUGCUCUGCGACGGACAUCCGGAAGAGUUUGCAACAUAUUUGCGUUACGUACGGCGGUUAGAUUUCUUCGAAACGCCCGACUAUGAUUUUCUGCGAAGACUGUUUCAAGACUUAUUCGACCGUAAGAACUACACCGACGAGGGAGAGUUCGACUGGACAGGGAAGACAAUGACCAAGGAGCAGCUGGAUCAAAUGAAAGUCAUUAAGAAUGCGCCACCGUCGCAUUUGGCCAAGAACAAGUCAGAUAAGUCAACGCCCGUCGGAUCUCUGCAAACUGGCCAUGAAGUCAUCAUUUCACCAAAUAAAGAUCGGCAUAAUGUUACGGCUAAGGAUGUUUCAUAUUUUGAUUUUGAUGACGAUAAUGAGAAUGAGAAUGAAGAAUAUAUCGUACUCCAGGUUAGACGUUGUAGACUUGAAAAAUAUCUCUGUACUGACAAAUGCCAAAGGAGGUGUUGCUGCGUGGCCUGAUGUGCCAAAGCCGGGGGCAACACUGGGCAAUCUAACGCCGGCCGAUCGGCAUGGCUCAGUGCAGGUUGUGAGUUCGACGAAUGGCGAACUAAAUCCGGACGAUCCCACGGCCGGACACUCAAACACGCCCAUCACACAGCAGCCUGAAGU